GUGCUCACUUCGGCAGCACGUAUACUAAAAUUGACAGAUUAGCAUGGACCCUGCACAAGAAUGACACACAAAUUCGUUAAGCAUUCCAUAAAAAA
rnacentral:snRNA from 1 species